rnacentral:rRNA from 1 species
GUGUCAGCAGCCGCGGUAAUACAGAGGUCUCAAGCGUUGUUCGGAUUCAUUGGGCGUAAAGGGUGCGUAGGUGGUGGGGUAAGUCGGAUGUGAAAUCCCGGGGCUCAACCCCGGAACUGCAUUCGAUACUGCCUUGCUCGAGUACUGGAGAGGAGACUGGAAUUUACGGUGUAGCAGUGAAAUGCGUAGAUAUCGUAAGGAAGACCAGUGGCGAAGGCGAGUCUCUGGACAGUUACUGACACUGAGGCACGAAGGCCAGGGGAGCAAACGGGAUUAGAAACCCCGGUAGUCC